UUUUACCAUAAUUCAUGGUGGAGAAUGGCUGCUCUUCUGAGUUUUGCUGUCUGUAGCCGUAUGAAUGGAAAACUACACAGAUUAGCAGCGGCAUAGGCACACAUAAAAUUUCUUCUGAAAUUUUCGCUUUCUAGUUGCAUUUUAUAAUUUAUUUAUUAAAUUUAUGUGGAGUGAAUAAAUAAAAGUAUAUUUACGGUGGCCCCUAGAGACAAAGCACGUACAAACUCCAAAGCACGUACAAAGUCUGAAGCACAUACAAACUCCGAAACACGUACAAACUCCAAAGCACAUACAAACCCCCAAACCCCCUAAAACUGAAAAAUAUUGUACAUUUCAGAAUUGUACAAAAAGGCCUUUUUCAGGGAACACAACAUGGGUUAACAAUUUAAAGCUGUUCCUCAGCAAUAGAGGUUGAUCAAUAGAGGCUGGUGCUACUAAUUCCUAAAGGUGUUCCAACUUUGCUGGAUUACUUGCAACCCCCUCUGUAUGCAUAAAAGCAGUGUUGGAACACACUGUUGUACUAUACUCUCAUUAGCAUCAGUUGAACAGUUUCACAAAUGGUAGUGAAAGUAGGAAGAAAGUAGUGUGUUGUUACAAAAAUAGCGAGAAAAAGGCAAUUAACAAUGGAAGAGAGACAGACCAUCAUUACUCUUAAAAUGUACACAGCAAAUUCUGGUCUUUGGAAUAAACUCUCUGGGAGUUCAGAUUAAUUACAUUUGAGUGUACAUGCGUGACCAUCGAAUGAACUCUAGUGCAGAGUCUUUCCCGGGAGUUGAUUUUUCAACUCUUUAUGAGUUAAAACUGAACUCUCAUGGAGUUAAAUUUCUACUACCAUAUAGAGUAAAAUGUAACUCAUAACUAGAGUUAAUUUGAUAUUAACUCUUUUAUAGUGUUUCUCAUCAAAUGAAAAAAGGUUUUAGGUGGAAAUUACUACAAGACACCAUACUGGUUAUUAUGAAUGUAUUAAUUUUAUUUAUCAAAAAUAACAUUCAAAAUUGAAUGCUGCAUGGAUUAGCAUACAUUCUGUGUAACAGUACUGUAAUAGCGUAACAUCCAUCAUUAAUGGCAGCUAAACAGUUGAGACAUUGUGUGGUCAGAUUGGCCUAACAUUGGGGGAAAAGAAAAAAAACAGAAUUAAAGAAAAAAAUCACUACAGAAUAAGCACUUCUUGUAAUGCAGUGUUAACAUGAGGAAGACUAUAAAUUCUCCAUUAAGCCAACAAAUCAAAUAAUGCAACUCUCUGACACAACAUAAAAUUGUGAAUCACACCCAUAUGACAUUUGGGCAUCAAAACAUUUGUAAUGUCUUAAUUUCUCCCUUUCUAGGACCAGUAUCUUUUUAGGAAUAGUUUCAUUUACCUGAAAAGCAUGAAAAUGAUCAUGGAAACACGUUUCAUGCUCAACCAUAACAAAAAUAGCUUUACCAUCAUGCAAAAUGAUCGAAGUCAUCUUGCUGAAAACUGGGAUGUUUUCAUAAGUGCCUGUACAAACAAAAAGCCCAACACGAUAUUCAACUCCACUACACUUUACCCAGUUUGUGAGUUUGACAGUGUUCUGUAAAUCAACAUGAAGAUAUGUGUCAGGGUCCUGGGUCUGAGCGACCCAGGAUCCCUGAGCAGUUAUAGACUUAUGUUACUUAUGUAUUUUUGGUGUUGCUCCCCCUUUUCCCUAUGCUUGUACAUAUGUGUGUGGGUGGCUGUGUGUCUGAGCACUCGUUUAUAGGUGCCUUCAGGCCUGGUGGGUGUGGCCCUGCUAGGGGACUGGCCACACCCGAAGCCACGCACCUGCUGCUGAUCAGGCCUCGUCGGGGGAGCUACUUAAGAGAGUCUUGGAGCUCCCACUGGCGCGGGAUCAUUGCGUGAGACUCCACGAGGAGCGUGGGAGGCCUGAAGAGCGGCGAGCACCGGGAGUGCGACACACGGGAGCAGAGAGCACAAGGAGGACACAUCACGGGAGUCUGGGGAAAACACGGAGAUUUAUUAUUGUUUGUACCACACACUGUAAAUAAACACACUGUUCGCACACAGAGCACCGCGCCUGGGUCCUCCUUCCCUACAUCCCCACGGUCUGCCAGCACAGACCGUGACAGAAUGAUCCAGCCAGACAUGGACCCAGCGGUCUCUGAGGAGAGGCUCAGGAGGGAGAUUAUGGACAGGGUUUACAGACUCUGUGAGUUGUGGUGGGAGAAGCCCGCAGAAGGGUUGCGUCGCACCGUGGGGAGGCGGCUGCAGGAGACGCUUUUUAAAUUCCCUUGGCUGGUUGACGAUCUCAAUCCUAUCGUCAUGGACUUCCUGCUUUCCACCCUCCACCUCCACUCUCCUCCUCAGGCUGCUCACCAGCCCAGACAGCUGGUGGAUUCAAAGCCUGACACGCCGGCCCCGACGUCUACCCGGAGACGACGUUUGCGCCGCCAGCGUUCCUCACCGCAGCCUAAUCCACGGACAUCUCAAGAGCCGGCUGUGGUGAGCAAUACGGACAUUUUUUCAUUUCCCUCACCAUCUGUUUGUGUGUCUGCAGUGGACAAUGACGCUGCCGUAAGCCAUCCGACGGCGCAAGUAACAUCACCUCGGUCAGAGGUCUCCACACCACUCGCUGCUUCACCAUCUGCAGUUGUAGCGCCGCUGUCAUCUCAUCCGCCUGCAGUCACCCUUCUGCCAUCUUCUUCACCGGCUGCUACGUCACCACUCGGACCUGUCCUGCCCGAGCAGGAGCUCAGCGAGCCGGAGCAGCUGCCGGAGGAGCUCAGGAAGCCGGAGCCGCUCAGGGAGCCGGAGCUGCUGCUGGAGGAGCUCAGGGAGCCGGAGCCGCCGCCGCUGCUGGAGGAGCUGAACGAGCUGGAGGGACCAGCGUUGCCAGCGGAGGAGCUCGACCAGCGGGAGGAGCCUGUGCUGCCAGCGGAAGAUCUCGGCAAGCCGGUGGGACCCGCUAAGCCGAAGCUGGAGGUUAGCGAGCUGGAGCUGGAGCUCAGUGAGCAGGAGCAGGAGCUCAGAGAGCGGGAGGAGCCCGUGCCGCCAGCUGCGAAGCCCUGCGAGCCGGAGCAUUAGCUCGGAGAGCGGGAGGAGCCCGCACCGCCAGCUGAGGAGCUCAGCGUGCCGGAGGAGCCAGCGCCGCUGCCGGAGGAGCUCAACGAGCCGGAGGGACCAGCGUUGCCAGCAGAGGAGCUCGGCCAGCGGAGGACCUCAGCAAGCCGGAGGGACCUCCACGUCUAGCGCACCCUCCACGCCAUCCACGUCCAGCGCGUCCACGUCAGCGACCAGCGCGCUACACUGCUGCUCACUGUUGCUCGCCGGAGCAACGUCGUUGCCGUCGGACCCGGGGCAAGCCACCGGAGGAGCAGUGCCGCCGCCACUGGACCCGGGGCAGGCCGCCGGAGGAGCAGCGCCGCCGCCACUGGACCCGGGGCAGGCCGCCGGAGGAGCAGCGCCGCCGCCUCGGGAUCAGGGGAAGGCCACCAGAACCGUUUCGCCGCUGCUGCCGGACCCAUGGCCACCCGCCGGAGCUGCAACGCUGCCGCCAUUGGAGGUGGAUGAACACAUGCGAGCAUGUCGCGGAGCUAGAGACUACAACUCCCAGAGGCCUCUAGGACAUGGGGAAAUGGCCUCUGGCGGAGGCACGGCCAGUGGCGUGGGAAAUCGGGACAGGAAUUAUGAGGACGAGGGUGAGCAACCCAUGCAAAUAGGGCACUCCAGAUUAUCCCCUGAGGAGCGACAACGUCGGUGGAGGGACGGUGAGUGCUUCUACUGCAGCCGCAGAGGCCAUAUUGCCAUCUCUUGUCCAGCGCAGCCAAAAGAUUGCACCCGCCAGUCGAGAGGAGAGUACGGGUGGGCGAGGUUUCCUGUUCACGGUCUCCUGAAUCAUUUCUUCAACAGAUUUGAUUCAGCCAUGAGGCAGUCUUCAACAGCGGCUGCAGACUCACCCACCCCCACUGCUGCUGUUCCACCUCUGACACCUCAGACAAUUCACACCUCCUCUACUCACCCUGCUCACUCCUCCCCACCCCCAACAACAGCAUCCAAUACACACUCAACACAAGGCUCCAGCCUGUCUCUACUCAACCACCCAGGUUAGGAGGGAACUGGGGAGGAUUAAAGCCAAGAUGGCAGCAGGCCCAGAUGGCAUCAGCUCAAGGGUCGUCAGGUCCUGCGCAGACCAACUGUGUGGGGUGAUGGAGCACCUCUUCAACCUGAGCCUGAGGCUGGGGAGAGUCCCACAGCUCUGGAAAACCUCCUGUGUUGUACCAGUGCCAAAGACUUCACGCCCCAAGGACCUCAACAGCUACAGGCCGGUGGCUCUUACAUCCCACCUGAUGAAGACCCUGGAGCGGCUGGUCCUGGGGCGGCUGGUCCUGGCUCAGCUUCGGCGUCUGGUGAGCUCAUCACUGGACCCACUUCAGUUUGCCUACCAGCCUGGCAUUGGAGCGGAUGAUGCCAUCAUUCACCUCCUACAUCAUUCCCUCGCUCACCUGGAGACCACUGGGAGCACUGUGAGAAUCAUGUUCUUUGAUUUCUCCAGUGCCUUCAACACUAUUCUUCCCAAGGUCCUGAAGGACAAGCUGGAGAACUCAGGAGUGGACCAUCACCUUACUACCUGGAUUUUGCAGUACCUCACCGACCGACCACAGUAUGUGAGGACUCAGGGCUGUGUGUCGGACAGGGUCGUCUGCAGUACGGGGGCCCCACAGGGAACGGUUCUGGCUCCGCUCCUCUUCACCAUCUACACUGCAGACUUCUCCCACAACUCCACCCAGUGCUUCCUGCAGAAGUUCUCUGAUGACUCUGCAAUAGUCGGCCUCAUCACUGAUGGGGACGACAAGGAGUACAGAGGACUGACCCAAGACUUUGUGGACUGGUGCCAGCUGAACUACCUCCAGAUCAACGCCAGUAAAACCAAGGAGCUGGUGGUAGACUUCCACAGGCACAAACAUCCUCCAUUGCAAUCACUGAACAUACAAGACAUUGAGGCUGUGGACAGCUACAGGUACCUUGGUGUUCAUCUGAACUACAAACUGGACUGGACUCAUUCAGACGCCCU
ensembl:lncRNA